rnacentral:rRNA from 1 species
AGUGAACGCUGGCGGUGGGCCUAACACAUGCAAGUCGAACGGCAGCACAGUAAGAGCUUGCUCUUACGGGUGGCGAGUGGCGGACGGGUGAGGAAGACAUCGGAAUCUACUUUUUCGUGGGGGAGAACGUAGGGAAACUUACGCGAAUACCGCAUACGACCUACGGGUGAAAGCAGGGGAGCUUCGGACCUUGCGCGAGUGAAGGAGCCGAUGUCGGAUUAGCUAGUUGGCGGGGUAAAGGCCCACCAAGGCGACGAUCCGUAGCUGGUCUGAGAGGAUGAUCCGCCCCACUGGCCCUGCGACCCGGUCCAGCCUCCUACGGGCGUCCGCCGUGGGGCCUCUUGGCCCCUGGGCGCACGCCUGCUCCCGCCCUACCGCGUGGGUGAAGAAGGCCUUCGGGUUGUACAGCCCUUUUGUUGGGACCGCAAAGCCGCAGGUUAAUCCCCCGCUGUUCUGCCGGUCCCCCCCGCAUCCGCACCGGCUAACUUCUUG